GCAAGUCGAACGCUAUCUUUGAUAGAGUGGCGCACGGGUGAGUAACACGUUGGAAUCUUCCCUUUUGUUCGGGACAACAGUUGGAAACGACUGCUAAUACCGGAUACGCCCUUCGGGGUUAAGGUCCGCCGCAGAAGGAGGAGCCCGCGUCCGAUUAGCUUGUUGGUAGGGGAAUGGCCUACAAAGGCGACGAUCGGUAGAUGGUCUGAGAGGAUGAGC
rnacentral:rRNA from 1 species